UAAUAUAUUUUCUCCUCCUUUCAUCGAGAAACACCCCCUAACCAUGAUUUAAAUAGAUUUCCAUCAAGGACUGAUAAAAACUAAUUUGACUAAGAGGAAGAGCCAUUGGAGAAGGCGGACUAGGCGGGAGAGCACGGUGGUGCCGUCGUGCUGGAACCCCAAGCUGACCUCCCGGUGAGAUUUUUGCCUUUUUUGCCGUUUCUUGCUUAUUUUUAUGCCAUUUUUAUGUACAUUCAAUCUUAUCAGGAAAACUCAAGAAAUCUGAGAUCCAAAACCGUCGAGAAUCAUAGUGAAAAUAAGGCGGUGUUCUGGAUACCGACCCAGUGUAGGUAUGCAUGUUAUUUGGAGUUAAAUAGCAAAUAAAAGAAAUAGUAUGCAUGAACUAAUGUGAUUAAAUGAAAAGCACUUACCGGGUAUCCUGAGAAAGAGUGCACGGACUUGGUGCAUAAGGUG
rnacentral:lncRNA from 1 species